GUCCCUGUAGCGCAAUGGAUAGCGCGUUGGACUUCUAAUCCAAAGGCCGUGGCCGUGGGUUCGAAUCCCACCUGGGAUG